UGGGGAAUAUUGCACAAUGGGCGCAAGCCUGAUGCAGCCAUGCCGCGUGUGUGAAGAAGGCCUUCGGGUUGUAAAGCACUUUCAGCGAGGAGGAAGGUGGUGAACUUAAUACGUUCAUCAAUUGACGUUACUCGCAGAAGAAGCACCGGCUAACUCCGUGCCAGCAGCCGCGGUAAUACGGAGGGUGCAAGCGUUAAUCGGAAUUACUGGGCGUAAAGCGCACGCAGGCGGUUUGUUAAGUCAGAUGUGAAAUCCCCGGGCUCAACCUGGGAACUGCAUUUGAAACUGGCAAGCUAGAGUCUCGUAGAGGGGGGUAGAAUUCCAGGUGUAGCGGUGAAAUGCGUAGAGAUCUGGAGGAAUACCGGUGGCGAAGGCGGCCCCCCUGGACGAAGACUGACGCUCAGGUGCGAAAAGCGUGGGGAGCAAACAGGAUUAGAUACCCUAGUAGUCCACGCUGUAAAACGAUGUCGAUUUGGAGGUUGUGCCCUUGAGGCGUGGCUUCCGGAGCUAACGCGUUAAAUCGACCGCCUGGGGAGUACGGCCGCAAGGUUAAAACU
rnacentral:rRNA from 1 species